rnacentral:rRNA from 1 species
UCAAGCUAUAAAGAGCGCAAGGGGAAUGCCUUGGCAUCAGGAGCCGACGAAGGACGUGACAAGCUGCGAUAAGCUUCGGGGAGGAGCAAAUAUCCGUUGAUCCGGAGAUUUCCGAAUGGGGAAACCCACCAGAGCAAUACUCUGGUAUCGUGCGUUGAAUAAAAUAGGCGUACGAGGGGAACGCCCUGAACUGAAACAUCUAAGUAGGGCCAGGAAAAGACAUCAACCGAGAUUCCGCUAGUAGUGGCGAGCGAACGCGGAGGAGGCCAAACCGGUGGAUUUAUUCACCGGGGUUCGGACUGGCAUCACGAUCAGAGGUAUCUAGAAGAACGGCAUGGGAAGGCCGGCCAUAGAGGGUGAGAGCCCCGUAUUUGAAAGAGAAGACUGACAGCCAGUAUCCAGAGUACCGCGGGACACGUGAAACCCCGUGGGAAGAUGGGUGGACCACCAUCCAAGCCUAAAUACUACCUGAUGACCGAUAGAGGAGCAGUACCGUGAGGGAAAGGUGAAAAGGACCCCGGGAGGGGAGUGAAAGAGAACCUGAAACCUUGUGCUUACAAGCACUCAAAGCACGUUAAAGUGUGAUGAGGUACUUUUUGUAGAACGGUCCGGCGAGUUAUAGUAACGAGCAAGCUUAAGGUAUUCAGUACCGGAGGCGAAGCGAGAGCGAGUCUGAAUAGGGCGCAUAAAGUUCGUUGCCAUAGACCCGAAACCGGGUGACCUAACCAUGAGCAGGCUGAAGUGAGAGUAAAAUCUCAUGGAGGGCCGAACGCACGUUCGUUGCAAUGACCGGCGAUGACUUGUGGUUAGCGGAGAAAUUCCAAUCGAACUCGGAGAUAGCUGGUUCUCCCCGAAAUAGCUUUAGGGCUAGCGUUGAUUUAGAUUACCGGAGGUAAAGCACUGAAUGGGCUAGGGGGCGAUAAGCUUACUGAACCCUAUCAAACUCUGAAUGCCGGCUAAUUGAUGAUCAGCAGUCAGACAGUGUGAGAUAAGUUUCAUUGUCAAAAGGGAAACAGCCCAGACCCACAGCUAAGGUCCCAAAGUACAGUUAAGUGGUGAAGGAUGUGGAAUUGCAUAAACAACCAGGAUGUUGGCUUAGAAGCAGCCACUCAUUAAAAGAGUGCGUAAUAGCUCACUGGUCGAGUGAUUCUGCGCCGAAAAUUUAACGGGGCUAAACUAUACACCGAAGCUUAGGAUACCGCAAGGUAUGGUAGGAGAGCGUUCUGUACGGAGUGAAGUCGUAGCGAAAGCGGCGGUGGACUGUACAGAAGUGAGAAUGCCGGAAUAAGUAGCGAGAAUUAAGUGAGAAUCUUAAUGGCCGAAAGUCUAAGGUUUUUGGAGGAAGGUUCGUCCGCUCCAAGUUAGGCGGGAGCUAAGGUCAGGCCGAAAGGCGUAGCCGAUGCACAAACGGUUGAUAUUCCGUUACCGUCUACAAUUUAAACAAAGGGACACAUACAAAGCGUUUAACCCGGGCGAUGGUUGACCCGGGCGCAAGGGACUGAAAUAAGAGUAGGGAAGUAAAUGUGGCGUAUGGCGAGAAAAGCUUUGUGAAUAGAAGUAGACGCCCGUACCGCAAACCGACACAGGUGGACAGGAAGAGAAUUCUAAGGCCAGCGGGAGAAGGGUAGUUAAGGAACUCGGCAAAUUGACUCCGUAACUUCGGAAUAAGGAGUGCUCGAAAGAGCCGCAGAGAAUAGGCCCAGGCGACUGUUUAGCAAAAACACAGGUCUCUGCCAAAUCGAAAGAUGAAGUAUAGGGGCUGACACCUGCCCGGUGCCGGAAGGUUAAGAGGAGGAGUGCAAGCUCCGAAUUGAAGCCCCGGUAAACGGCGGCCGUAACUAUAACGGUCCUAAGGUAGCGAAAUUCCUUGUCGGGUAAGUUCCGACCCGCACGAAUGGCGUAACGACUUGGGCACUGUCUCAACAAGGGACCCGGCGAAAUUGUAGUAUGUGUGAAGAUGCACAUUACCCGCGAUAGGACGGAAAGACCCCGUAGAGCUUUACUGUAGCCUGGUAUUGGAUUUUGGUAACGUAUGUACAGAAUAGGUGGGAGACGGAGAAGCGAGGACGCCAGUUCUCGUGGAGUCGCCUUUGGGAUACCACUCUUAUGUUACCGGGGUUCUAACGAGCGGCCGUGAACCGGCGUUCAGACAGUGCCAGGUGGGCAGUUUGACUGGGGCGGUCGCCUCCGAAAGAGUAACGGAGGCGUCCAAAGGUUCCCUCAGAAUGGUUGGAAACCAUUCAUAGAGUGCAAAGGCAGAAGGGAGCCUGACUGCGAGACCGACAGGUCGAGCAGGUACGAAAGUAGGGCUUAGUGAUCCGGCGGUAUGAGAGUGGAAUUGCCGUCGCUCAACGGAUAAAAGCUACCCUGGGGAUAACAGGCUGAUCUCCCCCAAGAGUCCACAUCGACGGGGAGGUUUGGCACCUCGAUGUCGGCUCAUCGCAUCCUGGGGCUGUAUUCGGUCCCAAGGGUUUGGCUGUUCGCCAAUUAAAGCGGCACGCGAGCUGGGUUCAGAACGUCGUGAGACAGUUCGGUCCCUAUCCAUCGUGGGCGCAGGAGAUUUGAGAGGAGCUGUCCUUAGUACGAGAGGACCGGGAUGGACGCACCAAGGGUGAAUCAGUUGUCGCGCCAGCGGCACGGCUGGGUAGCCAAGUGCGGAUCGGAUAAACGCUGAAGGCAUCUAAGCGUGAAGCCGACCUCAAGAUAAGAUCUCCCAUUCCGAAAGGAAGUAAGACCCCUUGCAGACGACAAGGUUGAUAGGUCGGGGGUGGAAGUGCGGUAACGCAUGAAGCUGACCGAUACUAAUAGGUCGAGGGCUUGAUCAA